GAGAGCUUUGAUCCAAGGAGCAUUAGCAGGAGUGCAGAGGGUUAUGGCAGAAGCUCUGGUUUUGCAUCAGAAGUUUGGUGUGGUGAGGGCCCAGCAGCUGCCAUCCAGUGCCAUUUCCACAGCUGGCACUGCUUCUGGUUCUGUAUCGGGUGUGUGCUCAGUGGGGCAGACGUGUGCAAUGGAAGAGGAGCCCUCUCUUCCUGGAUCUCUUCAGAGGAGCAGCACAAUUAUAUCCUAGUAACAGCGGUGUUCUAAAUCCUAUGCAAUUGAGCUGUUGCCAUGGAAAUGAUCAGAUAAGAUAGAUGCCUUUAGGCAGAUGGGGCUACAAAGAACACUCAAUUUUGGCCUGUUGAAAUCUAUGGAACUACUUAAUAUUAUUUAAAGGCAACACUACUAGCUGAGGACAGCAUCCAGUAGACUGCAGGCAGCACUGAGGAUCGCUGCUUUCCAGUGGUUGAUUCCAAGAAGCCAUGCAGGAUGAGAGAGACAAGAGUUAACUGCUAUGGGAACUGCAGAGGGCCCUCUUGCAUUUGACAGAGCCCCUUGAAAACCUGUCUAGGGAAGUGAAAGCCAGAAGGGCUGUGGAGAAGCACGCAGAAUCUUCAGACCAAUGGAACUGCUCUUGUGACACCAGAAAGAGAAUGUAGUUUAAACACUUUUUUUUCUGCUCAGCAGAAGCGUCCUUGUAGAACACUUUCCUCUGGAGAGGCUGACCACAAAUUCAUUUUCAACAAUGGAAACUCACAAGGAGUACACCCACAAGGGAGCAAGAAGGAAGGAGAAUGCUCUCAGUAUGCCUUAUUCCAGGGGAAAAAAAAAUGAACUCCCUGCUCUGCUCUAGGAAGGAGACUGUAGGAAAACCCCAUGUACUGGAAGUGUUUCUUGGAACAGACCACUCAUUCAAUCAAAAAGUCUAUUAUCCAGCUCCUAUGAUAAGAUAUGCAGAGCUCUGACUUCACUGAAGGAGCUCUCUGCGCUGGAAAUCUGGGGCAUCAUUCGGUGCAAUGCAAAAUUAUGUUCAGUAAAAGGAGACAAGAAGUGACACUUCAAGGAAGGGGAUUUGUGUUUGACUCCUGGAGGUCGGCGUGCUGCUGUGAAACACAAAGUGGGGAACUCAUGGAACCCGCAGCCCGACCAACACUGCUGUGACAACAGCAAACUGAUCUCUGUACUGCACAUCACCUCAUGGAUUAAGCGUUCUCCACCAAUACCUAAUCUAUAGCUGGAUGUCACCACAGCCUGGUUACCCUUCUUCUGGUUGACUUGAGACCAAAACGCCUCCAAAUGACUGCCACACACAGAGCUGGGUGGUUUGAGCCUCCCCGGAGCUUGAAGGAUUACAACAGCCCAAAGGAUUAAAGCUUAAACCAGUGGUGCUUAGGGAGCUGGCUCCACAGAGAGAUUUAUGAUGGUUUGGUAACUGCAGCCUGCCAGUGUAAAUACAGGUUUUAAUAGCACAUGGAGUAAAACUAAUGUUGUACUUCUGCUAGCU
rnacentral:lncRNA from 7 species